rnacentral:misc_RNA from 1 species
AAGUCGUAACAAGGUUUCCGUAGGUGAACCUGCGGAGGGAUCAUUACCACGUGUAAAACGUACUUAUCAACCAAACGUGAACUCGUUCCUUACCUAGGCUCAAACUGAGAUUAUGGACCCGUCAAUGGUGUGGACGGACAUAACUCUCACCAGGUGAAAUAGACUGGAGGUUUGGGUUUAGGCUAAUUUUUUCCCACCAUACAAUUAACCUUAUUCACCUUUACUAAUUGACUAACCUCUAUCCACUUGAACUCGAAAGGGUCUAAGUGUGAAUCGAAAUUAUCACAACUAAGUACAACUCUUAGCAACGGAUAUCUCGGUUCUC